rnacentral:rRNA from 1 species
UUUCAUGGCCAAAUCUCCUUGUCAAAGCCUGAUCACGUCAGAUCUCAGCAACGAAGCAAGGCCGGGUCUGGUUAGUACUUGGAUGGGAGACCGCUGGGAAUUCGAGGUGCUGCAGUGGGAC